AAACUAGGAUUAGAUACCCUAUUAUAUUAAAGUUAAAUUUAUAAAUACUGAAUUAUUAAUAGAUAUUUCUUAAAAUUUAAAGAAUUUGGCGGUAAUUUAGUCUUGUCAGAGGAACCUGUUUUUUAAUCGAUACACCACGUUAUAUCUUACUUAUUUUAAGUAGUUUGUAUACCAUCAUUAGUAGAUAAUUUUAAAAGAACAAAUUAUUAAAAUUAAAUAUAUUAAAAAAAUUAGAUCAAGGUGCAGCUAAUAGAUAAGUUAAAAUGGGUUACAAUAAAAUUUAUUUAUACGAAAUAAUUUAAAAAAAUUAAAUUAUAAAGGUGGAUUUGAUUGUAAUAUAAGCUUAAUAAACUUAUAAGAUAUAAGCUCUAAAUUAUGUACACAUCGCCGGUCACUCUCAG
rnacentral:rRNA from 1 species